rnacentral:rRNA from 1 species
CAGCCGUAAACAAUGUGCGUUAGGUGUGUCGGUAACCACGUGUUACUGAUGCGCCGAAGAGAAAUCGUGAAACGCACCACCUGGGAAGUACGGUCGCAAGGCUGAAACUUAAAGGAAUUGGCGGGAGAGCACCACAACAGGUGGAGCCUGCGGUUUAAUUGGAUUCAACGCCGGACAUCUCACCGGAUAAGACAGCUGAAUGAUUGUCAAUCUGAAGGUUUUACAUGACUAGCUGAGAGGAGGUGCAUGGCGUCAGUGACU